UUUUUUUUAUAAUAAAUUUUUAUUAGUUUUUGCUUCGGAAAUAUUGAGAUGAUUCGUGCGACCUAUAAGGUGAUCAUCCUUUGGACUUGCACUGAAAAACAUGACACGCGCUCAUACCUCAUGUAAAUAUUUACACUUC